rnacentral:rRNA from 1 species
UGGGGAAUAUUGCACAAUGGGGGGAACCCUGAUGCAGCGACGCCGCGUGAGUGAAGAAGUAUUUCGGUAUGUAAAGCUCUAUCAGCAGGAACGAAGAAGACGGUACCUGACUAAGAAGCCCCGGCUAACUACGUGCC